CCAGCCACACUGGAACUGAGACACGGUCCAGACUCCUACGGGAGGCAGCAGUGGGGAAUAUUGCACAAUGGGCGCAAGCCUGAUGCAGCCAUGCCGCGUGUAUGAAGAAGGCCUUCGGGUUGUAAAGUACUUUCAGCGGGGAGGAAGGGAGUAAAGUUAAUACCUUACUCAUGAC
rnacentral:rRNA from 1 species